AUGGUGACGCCCCCUACGGGUCCUCCAUUACGGAUAACCCACCCCUCCCACCCAGGGCACGUGCUCACGCUGUACGCCACCGGCGGCGUGCUGUUCCAGUGCGACGGCUGCCGGCACUACGGCGAGGACGACCGCAGGUACCGGUGCGACCCGUGCGACUUCGAUCUUCACGUCUGCUGCGUCCCCUUCAAGGUGGAGGACCUGACGCUCACGCAUGCUUUCUUCAAGGGCUGCACGUUCGACUUUCGCUACAGCCCUCCCGGCGGCGCCCUGGCCGGCCUCGGCAGCUUCUGCGGCGCCUGCGGAGACCAGGUGCUCGGCUUCUUGUUCCACGACGGCCACCGCCAGAUCGGCCUCCACCCGCAGUGCGCCAACCUGGCCGAGCGCGUGGUCCAGCACGACGGCGUGUUCGACCUCCUCAAGGAGUCGCCUGCCCAUGGUCGCUCAAGUGAGCGCGCAGGCGACAUGGGCGGUGGGAACGCCGACGACAUGGGAGGUGGGCAUGCCGCAGAGCGCGCCGACGACAUGGGAGGUGGGCACGCCGCAGAGCGUGCCAACGACGUGGGACAGCGGGUUGUCAUCCAGCAUCAGCAAGGUCUCGCUUUUCUGCAAGGUUGCGGUGGCCGUCGCCAGGGUCGCCUCCGCGGUCUCCACUGGCACGGGGGGUGA
rnacentral:rRNA from 1 species